rnacentral:rRNA from 1 species
AGUGAAUAGAUACCCUGGUAGUCCACGCCGUAAACGAUGUUCACUAGGUGUUGGGGGUAUUGACCCCCUCAGUGCCGCAGCUAAACGCAUUAAGUGAACCGCCUGGGGAGGUACGGUCGCAAGACUAAAACUACAAAGGAAUUGACGGGGGCCCGGCACAAGCGGUGGAGCAUGUGGUUUAAAUUCGAUGCAACGCGAAGAACCUUACCUGGGCUUGACAUCCCGGGAAUCCCCUGGAAACAGGGGAGUGCCCUUCGGGGAACCCGGAGACAGGUGCUGCAUGGCUGUCGUCAGCUCGUGUCGUGAGAUGUUGGGUUAAGUCCCGCAACGAGCGCAACCCUUGUCUUUAAUUGCCAGCAUUCAGUUGGGCACUUUAAAGAACUGCCGGUUUUAAGCCGGAGGAAGGUGGGGAUGACGUCAAGUCCUCAUGGCCUUUAUGCCCAGGGGCUACACACGUGCUACAAUGGGUGGUACAAAGAGCAGCAAUCUCGCGAGAGUGAGCAAAUCUCAAAAAGCCNU